rnacentral:ncRNA from 1 species
GCCCAGGGUAGGACAGGUGACUGGGGUGAAGUCGUAACAAGGUAUCCCUACGAGAACGUGGGGAUGGAUCACCUCCUUU